AUAUCAGUCAUGCAUAGCAUAUCAAUAAGCGGAGGAAAAGAAACUAACAAGGAUUCCCCUAGUAACGGCGAGUGAAGCGGGAAGAGCUCAAAUUUGAAAUCUUAAAGGGUUUCCCUUUACGAAUUGUAGUUUAAAGAAGUGUUUUCUGUUAGAGUUUCGGUAAAAGUUCUUUGGAAUAGGACAUCAUAGAGGGUGAGAAUCCCGUAUUUGACCGUUAUUUCUAGCUUUGUGAUACACUUUCAAAGAGUCGGAUUGUUUGGGUAUGCAGUCCAAAAUGGGUGGUAAAUUUCAUCUAAAGCUAAAUAUUGGCGAGAGACCGAUAGCGAACAAGUACCGUGAGGGAAAGAUGAAAAGAACUUUGAAAAGAGAGUUAAACAGUACGUGAAAUUGUCAAAAGGGAAGCGUUUGACACCAGUGUUUUUUAAUUGAAAAUCAAUUAACUAAUUUUUGAUUUUAAAUAGUAUUGACUUUAUCAGCUUGCUAUUUUCUUUUCGGAAAUUAUUUAAUGCACUUUUCAGUUAACAAGUCAACAUCAAUUUCUUUUGUUGUAAAAAGGUAAGAGGAAGGUGGCUUAUGCUUCGGUAUAAGUGUUUAUAGCCUUUUACCUCUGCAAUCAGAGAGAUUGAGGUCUGCAGCGUAGAUCCUUCGGGGUUAGAUACAUUUGUGCUAAGUUAUAGUAUUUUAUAGACAACUUGUUGACUAUGAUUUAUCAUGUAGCUUACUCGCUUAUGCUAUUUUACCUACGCUUAGGAUGUUGAGUAGCGACAUACGCAC
rnacentral:rRNA from 1 species